AACGAACGCUGGCGGCAUGCCUAACACAUGCAAGUCGAACGAGACCUUCGGGUCUAGUGGCGCACGGGUGCGUAACGCGUGGGAAUCUGCCCUUUGCUACGGAAUAACUCAGAGAAAUUUGUGCUAAUACCGUAUAAUGUCGUAAGACCAAAGAUUUAUCGGCAAAGGAUGAGCCCGCGUAAGAUUAGCUUGUUGGUGGGGUAAAGGCCUACCAAGGCGACGAUCUUUAGCUGGUCUGAGAGGAUGAUCAGCCACACUGGGACUGAGACACGGCCCAGACUCCUACGGGAGGCAGCAGUGGGGAAUAUUGGACAAUGGGCGAAAGCCUGAUCCAGCAAUGCCGCGUGAGUGAUGAAGGCCUUAGGGUUGUAAAGCUCUUUUACCAGGGAUGAUAAUGACAGUACCUGGAGAAUAAGCUCCGGCUAACUCCGUGCCAGCCGCCGCCGUAA
rnacentral:rRNA from 1 species